ACUAAAGUGGAGGGCCCCACUAAGACUUACUACCCACCAAGUCUCUCUGUAGUCUCUCCCCCUCUUCGCGCUGAGCAGGAGCAGCUUCAUCUUCUUCCUCAAGCCUCGUCAAAUUCUAGUUGAUAAUGGGAAGCAAAGCACCAAGCUGGGCGGAUCAGUGGGGUUCGGGCAAUUACGGAGUCGAAGAGGACGAGAACAGGGUGACAAAGAAGAAAGGGAGCAACAAUGGCAGUAGUAGCAAGAAGAUGGCAGAGGUAAAGGCAGCAGCCUCAGCUGGCUUUGUGAAGGCGAAGGCUGUUGCAGCAGUGGGUGCUCAAAAAGUGAAAUCUGGAACUUCAGUAGGCAUCAAAUGGGUCAAGAAUCAGUACCAGAAAAAGGUCUCCAAAUGACUGAAAAUGCAUGAACUUACCCUGUUGAACAUUUUUUCCUAAACAUAUAACUUGUAGUUUGGAUGCUUUUUGUGAAAACAAAUUUAGAUGAUUCUUGGUUUGCCUGCA